UGAGGAUGAGAUUCGUUAAUAGACCAUAUUGCCAAGCCUAUAGCAUGGUGCCACGUGGUCAGUGAAGUAAACACCCCCGUAUGCCGACCCGACUUGACUUGCCAUGACAGGUCACUACCUCAAAAGCAAAACCUACCUACCGGAUCAGAUAACUGGCCUUGCCAAACCAAGGUCGGUUGGAUGGCAUCUGCUCGCGAUUAGAACCACCCGAGCCGUAUACUUGGGCAGAGUUUCCCAAGAUCCCCCUUAAUCCAACACGAGGAGCAAAUCAAGCUGACUAGAGAAUCUAGGGAAGAUCGCUUCUCUAGACAAGUUAAACCACGUGGGUGUCAAGACAAGAUUGAAA
rnacentral:lncRNA from 1 species